rnacentral:lncRNA from 1 species
UCAGAUACUUUAUUGUGAAAGAACUCAAAUCCACGUUUAUCAUCCUCAAAAUAUUGCCUCUAAUUUUUACUCAUUACCAAAUCAGUUAUCCAAUUCAAAAGCGAUUUGAUUUUCAGACAAUUAUAUCUCUCCCUCUUUUCACUCACACAAUCAAAUUAGUUACCAUAUUAAUCAAAAUUUUGAUAGAUUUUUCUCUCCAAUAAACUAAUUUCAUAUCCGUAGAUAUUUUCAUCUUCUUCAAUUUUCUUCAUCGCUUUUUUCUUGUUUCAUCAUUUUGUCUAAUACAUAUGAACUCCUUCAUGUUGGAUUGGAAUUAUCCAAAUAGUUACACCUAAUACGAAUCAAAUCUUUGAAUCUGAUAAUCUCCAAUAGACAAAAAAAACAGAUUUAAAAUGUUACAUAAUCCUUUAACAAUGGCAAAUUAAAGUUCAGAGAAGGCAAAAGCGAAAAAGGAUGUACCUGCAACAUCGAAAGCAAAAGUUGAAAACAACGAAAAAAAUAAUCAAAAAGGUUGCCCUGCCAUAUCUCAUCAACCUACACUAUCCAGGGUAUGUAUUUUGAACCAUGUAUUUUAGUAUAUAUUUAUUUUGUUUUAAAUUUAUGUCUUUCCCUGUUGAACUAUUGAAUCCAUAAUAUUCGAGGGGAAAUUUGUUCAAGAUAUUAUGCAACACAAAAGCGAUGGUCUGUAACUAUUGAAUCAUUUUUUCUUUACUUACAUAUUUGAUUUGUUUUUAUAAUGUAUUUUUUUCUUUUCUGUAGUGACUCUGAAAUAUUUUUUGUUGUUUUUAUUGAAUUUCUGAGUGAUGAAAUCAGCAUCCCAUCUAAUGAUUUUCAAAGGCUGACUCUUAGUUGUUUCCGCCGCAGAUGCGGAAGGCCAUCCUAACAAUAAGGUCUUCCGUAUGGAGCGCUUUUUGGCUCCCCGAAGACCCCUAAAUUAGCCUAAUUAGAUUCAAUUUGCUUUUUUGUAGAUGGACAAAUUUUCUUUGACUUUUGAAGACUUGCCUACAGAAAACAGCGAAUUACUUUCGGAUAUGGACCGAACUGUCUCACGACAUUCUGAACCCAGCUCACGUACCGGUAUUGAUUUAAUAGGCAGACAUUUCUAUCUAACACUUUCCAGUAUAAAUCUUAUGGUAGACACCAAACAUGUCCCAAACUUCUCGCUCCCACCGGCCGGCUGAUGGAAAUAGACUGACUACCGGAGAUAUUCGUGUUACUUCGUCUGCACUCGAAUCGAAGGCCGAAUAGAAAGCAUUCCCCCCAGCUGACUAUCUUCGUACAAGGUAUGCAAUAAUGUUAUGAAAGUAUGGUCUCAACUAGGGGUGGGCAUUCGGUAUUUCGGUUCGAUUUCGAGUUCUUUUUCGGUUUUUUCUAUUUCUGAUUCUUGUAAAUUGUGUACCGAAUACCGAACCGAAAUAUUUCGAUUCGAUUUUUAUUAUUUCAGUUUGAUUUUUUUAUUUUGAUUUUUUAAUGGGCCCGCUUAGUGGAUUUUUUUAAAUUUUAAACAUUACAAUUUUUUUGUUUGAUUUUUCAACUUAAUGGGCUAAAAAGUAAAAACAGAUAAUACAACAAAUAAGUGCAUUACUAAUUUACUACCAAAUAUCAAUAUGUCAAGAACAAAAAAGAAAAUUACAAAAACAAACCUGACUAGGCUGGACGCCGGACGACUGCUGCUGCUGGCGGCGUCUGCUGAUGCUGGUGGAUCCUGGCGGCUGCUGCUGCUGCUGCCUGAAAGAGGAAGAUGAAAGAGGAAGUCAGGAAGAUGAUAGAGAGGAACAGGGUUUCACAAAAAGUUUUUUCUUUUUUUAAAAGAUUAUUUAACAUUAAUAAUUAUUAAUUAAUAUAAUAUAAAUUAUAGUAUAAUAUUUCGUUUUAAACCAAAAUAUCGAAUACCAAAAUAAUACGUACCGAAAAUUGAAUCGAAAUAUCGAAAAAUACAAAAAAGUAAACUGAAUAUCGAAUCGAAAUGCCGAAAUCGAAAUUCUGAAAAAUUUUGGUUCGGUUCGGUAAAUCAAUUUUCCGGUGUUUAUGCCCACCCCUAGUCUCAACAAGGCCAAGACGGGAUAUGUUAGCGAAAAUGAUGAUCCUACAAGGCUGAAAAAUGACUACACUCAACCAAUAAAAGUUGAUAUUGUUAAUUUAGAAUAAAUUUUUAUGUAUCGAUUCACC